rnacentral:rRNA from 1 species
GGGGUAAAAUUAAAAAAAAAUAAAAUAAUAAAAGAAAUUUUAAAUUAAAAAUAUUAAUGGGGGUUUUAGUAUUUUUAAUAGAAAAAAAUUUAAUUAUUUAUAGUGAAUUAGUAUUGUGAGAGAAUUUUGAAAUAGGGAUGAAAAUAAAUUUAUUAAAAAGUAAAUUUAAUUUAUUGUAUCUUGUGUAUCAGAGUUUAUUAAAAUUUUUAUAUUUGUUUAUAUUUCUCGAAUUUAAAAGAGUUAAUUAAUUAAAAAAUUUAUUGUUUCAUAAAUAUUUUAAAUAAUUAAUUAGAAAUGAAAUGUUAUUCGUUUUUAAAUAUAUCUAGUUAUUUUAGAAAAAAAUUUAAUUUUUAAUAAAAUUGUAUAAUUAAAUUAAUUUAUUAAUUAGUUAUAAAAUUUUAUUUAAUAUUUUAAGGGAUAAGCUUUAAUUUAAAUUUUUAUAAUUUAAAUUAAAUUAUUUGAAAAUUUUAUAAUUUAUAUUGUUAAUAAAUUUUAAUUUAUUAUAAAUAAUUUCAAUAAAUUUAAAAUUUAAUUUAAAAUUUAAUUUUUUAUAAAAUAAUAAUUUUAAAUUUUAUAAAAUUAAAUAUAAUGAUAAAAUUAGUAUAUAAUAAAUAAUUAAAAUUAAAAUAUAAUUUUAUAUUAAGUUAUUUAAAAGGAAUUCGACAAAUAUAUAUAUUCACCUGUUUAACAAAAACAUGUCUUUUUGUAAAUAAUUUAAAGUCUAAUCUGCCCACUGAUUUAAUAAUUAAAGGGCUGCAGUAUAUUGACUGUACAAAGGUAGCAUAAUCAUUAGUCUCUUAAUUGGUGACUUGUAUGAAAGAUUGGAUGAGAUAUAAAUUGUCUCUUAAAUAUUAAAUUGAAUUUAAUUUUUUAAUUAAAAAGUUAAAAUAAUUUAAAAAGACGAGAAGACCCUAUAGAGUUUUAUAUAUAUUUAUUUUUAAUUUUUUUAUUAGUGGUUUAUUUUAAAUUUAAUUUAUAUAUUUUGUUGGGGUGAUAAAAAAAUAAAAUUAACUUUUUUUAAAAUUAAACAUAGAUAAGUGAGUUUUUGAUCCAAUAAUAUUGAUUAUAAGAAAAAAUUACCUUAGGGAUAACAGCGUAAUUUUUUUUUUUAGUUCAAAUAAGAAAAAAAGUUUGCGACCUCGAUGUUGGAUUAAGAUAAAAUUUAAAUGCAAAAGUUUAAAAUUUUGAUCUGUUCGAUCAUUAAAAUCUUACAUGAUCUGAGUUCAAACCGGUGUAAGCCAGGUUGGUUUCUAUCUUUUAAUAAUUUUAAUAUUUUAGUACGAAAGGAUCAAAUAUUAUAAUUAAAUUAAUUUAUUUGAAUUUUAUUAAAAAUUAUUAAUACAUAUAUAUAUAUAUAUAU